ACACGCUCCCCCACCUGCUUCACGGCGCCGGGCCACCUCGGCUCCAUCCCGCACCGAAACGCACCGCCGGUGUCCUUAGCUCCGCCACGCUAGACAAGCCGUCACCGGACUGCCUUGGUGCGUCGUCGGCCAUGCGGGCAUCUGCGGCCCUCAGCAUCUUCUUCGUCGCCGGCGUCCGACGAGCCCCGCAUCCUUUCAUCCCCGUAUCAGCUAUUUGGUGGGCUUAGACGAAGUGAAACUCGAUUAGUGGAAGUGUAUGUUGUUUGUCAAGAUCAUGUUAGUGCUGAAGCAUUCGGAGUUCAAGACUGAUUAUGAUCAAGUGAUUGAAGUGCUUGUCAAAACAGUGCACUUAUUAUAGAAAGAAAGGAGAAGUUCUUUUUACUUUAGCGCAAGGAUGUUGACGAGAUGAUCUUCACACCGUGUUGGCUAAAUAGGACAGAAUAAAAUUAUCAAAGUGGUGUAAUAAAAAUAGCACAAGUGUAAUUAAUUGCCGUGUCUUUGUUCCAUUAAUUUCUUGAUUUUACAGCACAUUAUGCCACCAUAUGUUUGGUACCUGGAUACUUACAUAUCUGGAGACUUUUUGUUACCUGCCUACUACGUAGUAUUAAAUACAGAUAGAUUCUGUAUUAUUUUUA